rnacentral:rRNA from 1 species
UGGGGAAUAUUGGACAAUGGGGGAAACCCUGAUCCAGCAACGCCGCGUGGGUGAUGAAGGCCUUCGGGUCGUAAAGCCCUGUUGAGGGGGAAGAAGGGACGGAGUAAUGAUCCGUUCUUGACGUUACCCCUUGAGGAAGCACCGGCUAACUCUGUGCCAGCAGCCGCGGUAAUACAGAGGGUGCAAGUGUUGUUCGGAAUCAUUGGGCGUAAAGGGCGCGUAGGCGGUGUGAUAAGUCAGGUGUGAAAGCCCUGGGCUUAACCCAGGAAUUGCAUUUGAAACUGUCACGCUAGAGUGCGAAAGAGGAGGGUGGAAUUCCCGGUGUAGAGGUGAAAUUCGUAGAUAUCGGGAGGAACACCAGCGGCGAAAGCGGCUCUCUGGGUCGACACUGACGCUGAGUGCGCGAGAGCGUGGGGAGCAAACAGGAUUAGAUACCCCCGUAGUCC